AUAGAUUUUCUGAUGUCCUAGCGUGCUCAACUGGGUGUGGAAGCUUUUGCUGAUGCUCUCCUCGUGGUUCCAAAGACACUUGCUGAAAACUCUGGCCUGGACACACAAGAUGUGAUUAUUGCGCUUACGGGAGAACACAACAAGGGAAAUGUAGUAGGACUUAGCCAACACACCGGAGAACCUAUUGACCCCAAAAUGGAAGGGAUCUUUGACAAUUACUCUGUAAAGCGUCAAAUCAUUAACUCCGGCCCUGUAAUUGCUUCGCAGCUGCUAUUAGUGGAUGAAGUUAUCCGUGCUGGGCGUAACAUGCGGAAGCCAAAUUAACUCAAAACUCUCGUUUUUACUUGCGCUCGAUGAAUGUUUUCCUCCCUGGUGAUGAUUGGGUGAAGGGUUGUCGGUGUUAAAUUUAUUUGCCCAAAGAUUCAGUGUAAAGAUAUAUUUAUUAGGCAUUGUGCCAGAAAAUUUAUCUCCGCUGAACUGCACUUGAUGUUUAUCAACCACUUCAGUUUUUUACGUAGUGUGUAGUGGCGUUGCUGUUUAACCUCUGUUUUACUUGGGAACUCUUUGUUCUCCUAGGCUGUCUUCACCUACUUGUCGCAAGAAUGUUAAGAAACUUGAUUUUAAUUUAGCCCAACCUUCUAUU